AUUAAACGCUGGCGGCAGGCCUAACACAUGCAAGUCGAGCGGAUGAAGGGAGCUUGCUCCUGGAUUCAGCGGCGGACGGGUGAGUAAUGCCUAGGAAUCUGCCUGGUAGUGGGGGAUAACGUCCGGAAACGGGCGCUAAUACCGCAUACGUCCUGAGGGAGAAAGUGGGGGAUCUUCGGACCUCACGCUAUCAGAUGAGCCUAGGUCGGAUUAGCUAGUUGGAGGGGUAAAGGCCUACCAAGGCGACGAUCCGUAACUGGUCUGAGAGGAUGAUCAGUCACACUGGAACUGAGACACGGUCCAGACUCCUACGGGAGGCAGCAGUGGGGAAUAUUGGACAAUGGGCGAAAGCCUGAUCCAGCCAUGCCGCGUGUGUGAAGAAGGUCUUCGGAUUGUAAAGCACUUUAAGUUGGGAGGAAGGGCAGUAAGUUAAUACCUUGCUGUUUUGACGUUACCAACAGAAUAAGCACCGGCUAACUUCGUG
rnacentral:rRNA from 1 species